rnacentral:rRNA from 1 species
GACGGACGCUGGCGGCGUGCUUAACACAUGCAAGUCGGACGAUGAAACCUAACUUGCUAGGUCGAUUAGUGGCGAACGGGUGAGUAACACGUGACUAACCUGCCCCUUUCUCUGGGAUAACGCUCCGAAAGGAGUGCUAAUACCGGAUACUCACACCUAGGCACAAGCCUUGGUGUGGAACGUUUUUCGGAAAGGGAUGGAGUCGCGGCCUAUCAGCUUGUUGGUGAGGUAACGGCUCACCAAGGCGACGACGGGUAGCCGGCCUGAGAGGGCGACCGGCCACACUGGGACUGAGACACGGCCCAGACUCCUACGGGAGGCAGCAGUGGGGAAUAUUGCACAAUGGGCGCAAGCCUGAUGCAGCGACGCCGCGUGAGGGAUGAAGGUCUUCGGAUUGUAAACCUCUUUCAGUAGGGACGAAGCGAAAGUGACGGUACCUAAAGAAGAAGCACCGGCUAACUACGUGCCAGCCGCCGCCGUAA